UCCUUGUUAGCUCAGUUGGUAGAGCGCUCCACUGGAAAUGGAGAUGUACCUCGUUCGAUUCGAGGACCAAGAU
rnacentral:tRNA from 1 species